CAGCUGGCUGCCUUCUGGGCGCUGUUCCUAUUUUACCAGGGCAAACCUUGGAACUCAGGUGCCCCUGUGCGAACGUUUCGUGUCAUGACGGUCUCAAGCGCAUAAUUGUUUCAUGGUGUACACCAUCUGAACAGCUACGAGUCAUUACGAGAGCAGAGUGAUAGCAAAGCGCAGAUAUCUACGUUGAAGAUGCGGUUGCAUGUUGAGGUAUCCUUGUGUAAUAGAUAGCAGGAAAUGUAUGCAUUCUCAAGAUAUGACAGUUUUUCUCGGCUAGCCUAAAUUCUUGAUUAAAAUAAACUAUGUACUUUAUGAUUUGUAAA
rnacentral:lncRNA from 1 species